GACGAACGCUGGCGGCGUGCCUAAUACAUGCAAGUCGAGCGCGGGAAGCUUGCGGAAUCCUUCGGGAGGAAGUGAGCGGACCGAGCGGCGGACGGGUGAGUAACACGUGGGCAACCUGCCCGUAAGACGGGGAUAACCCCGGGAAACCGGGGCUAAUACCGGAUAGGUGACCUUUCUGCAUGGAGGGGUCAUGAAAGGCGGCGGAAGCCGUCGCUUACGGAGGGGCCCGCGGCGCAUUAGCUAGUUGGUGAGGGAAGGGCUCACCAAGGCGACGAUGCGUAGCCGGCCUGAGAGAGUGAACGGCCACACUGGGACUGAGACACGGCCCAGACUCCUACGGGAGGCAGCAGUAGGGAAUCUUCCGCAAUGGACGGAAGUCUGACGGAGCAACGCCGCGUGAGUGAGGAAGGCCUUCGGGUCGUAAAGCUCUGUUGUUCGUGAAGAAGGGGUUGGCCAGGAAAUGGGCCGACAUUGACGGUAGCGAACCAGAAAGCCCCGGCUAACUACGUGCCAGCAGCCGCGGUAACACGUAGGGGGCAAGCGUUGUCCGGAAUGAUUGGGCGUAAAGGGCGCGCAGGCGGCCUCUUAAGUCUGAUGUGAAAGCCCACGGCUCAACCGUGGAGGGACAUUGGAAACUGGGGGGCUUGAGUGCAGGAGAGGGGAGUGGAAUUCCACGUGUAGCGGUGAAAUGCGUAGAGAUGUGGAGGAACACCAGUGGCGAAGGCGGCUCUCUGGCCUGUGACUGACGCUGAGGCGCGAAAGCGUGGGGAGCGAACAGGAUUAGAUACCCUGGUAGUCCACGCC
rnacentral:rRNA from 1 species